rnacentral:rRNA from 1 species
AUUGAGAGUUUGAUCCUGGCUCAGGACGAACGCUGGCGGCGUGCUUAACACAUGCAAGUCGAGCGAUGAAGCUCCUUCGGGAGCGGAUUAGCGGCGGACGGGUGAGUAACACGUGGGUAACCUGCCUCAUAGAGGGGAAUAGCCUUUCGAAAGGAAGAUUAAUAC